rnacentral:pre_miRNA from 1 species
GAGACACCCUUAUGGGGCAGGACUUGUUUCAUUGGAGGUUUGGUGCUCACUGAGUCUGCCCCUUGAGUGUGUCUCU